rnacentral:rRNA from 2 species
UACGAAGGGGGCUAGCGUUGUUCGGAAUUACUGGGCGUAAAGCGCACGUAGGCGGUUAUUCAAGUCAGAGGUGAAAGCCCGGGGCUCAACCCCGGAACUGCCUUUGAAACUAGAUGACUGGAAUCUUGGAGAGGUCAGUGGAAUUCCGAGUGUAGAGGUGAAAUUCGUAGAUAUUCGGAAGAACACCAGUGGCGAAGGCGACUGACUGGACAAGUAUUGACGCUGAGGUGCGAAAGCGUGGGGAGCAAACAGG